CCCCGGUUCCCAGAAACCGCCUCCGUACGCCGCGGGCCACCACGUGCGGGAGGGCCGGGUGCAGAGCCGGGACACCGCGUCCCGGGCCGCUGGGCCCUGCGCCCGGCACCCUGCCCCCUGGCCUGUGCUUGAACUCGAGAUGUUUGGGGGGCGGGGGAAAGCUGGGGUAGAGGGGUGCGGAGCUGGUCUUGCCCCCCCCCCCCCCCCGAGAAAAAUCUGUUGGAAGACCAGAUUACAAAAACCUCUUUGUACCUGUCAAGACUUAAUAAUUGUGUCACAGCACGAGGGAAACAGAGCGUGAGCAGGGGAGGGGAAGAAAGAGAGAGGGAGACAC